rnacentral:rRNA from 1 species
AUACGUAAGGUGCGAGCGUUGUUCGGAAUUAUUGGGCGUAAAGGGCGUGUAGGCGGCAUGUCAAGUCUGGUUUGAAAGGUCUUGGCUCAACCGAGACAGUGGGCUGGAAACUGGCAAGCUAGAGUUCUGAAGGAGGAGCUGGAAUUCCUGGUGUAGGGGUGAAAUCUGUAGAUAUCAGGAAGAACACCGGUAGCGAAGGCGAGCUUCUAUGAAUGGACUGACGCUGAGGCGCGAAAGCGUGGGGAGCGAACAGGAUUAGAAACCCUAGUAGUCC